AACUAGUCAGAGUCAUUACAAAGAGGAACUGAACGCCAUGUUAGAACAUGACGUUGUGCCCGUUAGUUGUAGUUGCAUCACAGUUCCUCCCAAAGCUUGCUAAGGGAUUCCACCACAACAUUGUCAUCUCGAUAAACAUGGCGAACUUCAGUAGGCCCAUUGCACCCAGGUUGAACCUGCAGUUAAUUCCAUACUUUGUAUGUUGUGUAUUCAUUGUUUUUUUGUUUCUUGAACUCCAUGUUUAACAUCUAAUGUUAUGAUGUAGAUAGAGGAAGAAAGAGAAUUUCCCACCCUCUUUUUCUGGUUAUAUUAUUUUAAGAAAAAGUCAACCUUAUACUUAGUAGGAUGCCAUUACUUGGGGGUAUCCUUCCUUUUUAGUGGGUGGCCAUGAAGGCUCUUAGUACUGACCUAGUCUUUAUUUGAACUUUGCUAUCAUCUUAGUGGCUAACCAUGAAGCAAAUACAUAAAUGUUAAGAAGGAUGUCACAAUUGGACUAUAAAAACCAGAGAUCCUAACUCCACCAUGCAACACAAGUCUUAGUUCUAUCCUUUCUUUUCUCUCCAAGAAUCACAAUGAGAAGCUUUUGGAAUUUGGGGAAAUUGCCUCUACUAGCAUUUGCUUUGGCAAUUUGCUUUGUAGCCAGCACUGUUGUUGCUGAUUACUCUUAUGGCUAUACUUCUCCCUCACCUUCUUACACCUCUAAGAAGUACUACAAAUCACCAUCUCCAUCCAACUAUCAUGAACCAACUCCAUACUACAAGAAACCGGAGAAACAUGCUGAACAUUCUCCAUCACACUAUUACAAGUCACCGGUGCCUUCCAAGCACGACUAUUACAAGUCCCCUACUCCUUCAAAGCAUUACUACAAAUCACCAGUAGUAGUGAAGUAUUACAAAUCACCAGUUCCUUCAAAGAAGUACUACUACAAGGCACCUUCCCAUUCAAACAAGUACUACAAGGCCCCUGCUCCUUCAAAGAAGUACUACAAGUCCCUUGCCCCUUCAAAGAACUAUUACAAGUCACCAUCUCCUGCAAAGUACUACAAAUCUCCUUCACCUGCAAAAUACUACAAGUCACCUGCUCCAUCAAAUCACUAUUAUUAUAAGUCACCAUCCCCUACAAAAUACUACAAAUCUCCAUCGCCUGCAAAAUACUACAAGUGGCCUUCACCAUCAAAUCACUAUUACUACAAGUCACCAUCUCCAACAAAAUAUUACAAGUCACCCGCUCCUUCUAAAUACUAUAAAUCUACCCCUUACUACAAGUCCCCUCCACCUCCCCCAUACUACAAAGAAUCUACCCCUUACUACAAGUCCCCUCCACCUCCCCCAUACUACAAAGAAUCUACCCCUUACUACAAGUCCCCUCCACCUCCCCCAUACUACAAAGAAUCUACCCCUUACUACAAGUCCCCUCCACCUCCCCCAUACUACAAAGAAUCUACCCCUUACUACAAGUCCCCUCCACCUCCCCCAUACUACAAAGAAUCUACCCCUUACUACAAGUCCCCUCCACCUCCCCCAUACUACAAAGAAUCUACCCCUUACUACAAGUCCCCUCCACCUCCCCCAUACUACAAAGAAUCUACCCCUUACUACAAGUCCCCUCCACCUCCCCCAUACUACAAAGAAUCUACCCCUUACUACAAGUCCCCUCCACCUCCCCCAUACUACAAAGAAUCUACCCCUUACUACAAGUCCCCUCCACCUCCCCCAUACUACAAAGAAUCUACCCCUUACUACAAGUCCCCUCCACCUCCCCCAUACUACAAAGAAUCUACCCCUUACUACAAGUCCCCUCCACCUCCCCCAUACUACAAAGAAUCUACCCCUUACUACAAGUCCCCUCCACCUCCCCCAUACUACAAAGAAUCUACCCCUUACUACAAGUCCCCUCCACCUCCCCCAUACUACAAAGAAUCUACCCCUUACUACAAGUCCCCUCCACCUCCCCCAUACUACAAAGAAUCUACCCCUUACUACAAGUCCCCUCCACCUCCCCCAUACUACAAAGAAUCUACCCCUUACUACAAGUCCCCUCCACCUCCCCCAUACUACAAAGAAUCUACCCCUUACUACAAGUCCCCUCCACCUCCCCCAUACUACAAAGAAUCUACCCCUUACUACAAGUCCCCUCCACCUCCCCCAUACUACAAAGAAUCUACCCCUUACUACAAGUCCCCUCCACCUCCCCCAUACUACAAAGAAUCUACCCCUUACUACAAGUCCCCUCCACCUCCCCCAUACUACAAAGAAUCUACCCCUUACUACAAGUCCCCUCCACCUCCCCCAUACUACAAAGAAUCUACCCCUUACUACAAGUCCCCUCCACCUCCCCCAUACUACAAAGAAUCUACCCCUUACUACAAGUCCCCUCCACCUCCCCCAUACUACAAAGAAUCUACCCCUUACUACAAGUCCCCUCCACCUCCCCCAUACUACAAAGAAUCUACCCCUUACUACAAGUCCCCUCCACCUCCCCCAUACUACAAAGAAUCUACCCCUUACUACAAGUCCCCUCCACCUCCCCCAUACUACAAAGAAUCUACCCCUUACUACAAGUCCCCUCCACCUCCCCCAUACUACAAAGAAUCUACCCCUUACUACAAGUCCCCUCCACCUCCCCCAUACUACAAAGAAUCUACCCCUUACUACAAGUCCCCUCCACCUCCCCCAUACUACAAAGAAUCUACCCCUUACUACAAGUCCCCUCCACCUCCCCCAUACUACAAAGAAUCUACCCCUUACUACAAGUCCCCUCCACCUCCCCCAUACUACAAAGAAUCUACCCCUUACUACAAGUCCCCUCCACCUCCCCCAUACUACAAAGAAUCUACCCCUUACUACAAGUCCCCUCCACCUCCCCCAUACUACAAAGAAUCUACCCCUUACUACAAGUCCCCUCCACCUCCCCCAUACUACAAAGAAUCUACCCCUUACUACAAGUCCCCUCCACCUCCCCCAUACUACAAAGAAUCUACCCCUUACUACAAGUCCCCUCCACCUCCCCCAUACUACAAAGAAUCUACCCCUUACUACAAGUCCCCUCCACCUCCCCCAUACUACAAAGAAUCUACCCCUUACUACAAGUCCCCUCCACCUCCCCCAUACUACAAAGAAUCUACCCCUUACUACAAGUCCCCUCCACCUCCCCCAUACUACAAAGAAUCUACCCCUUACUACAAGUCCCCUCCACCUCCCCCAUACUACAAAGAAUCUACCCCUUACUACAAGUCCCCUCCACCUCCCCCAUACUACAAAGAAUCUACCCCUUACUACAAGUCCCCUCCACCUCCCCCAUACUACAAAGAAUCUACCCCUUACUACAAGUCCCCUCCACCUCCCCCAUACUACAAAGAAUCUACCCCUUACUACAAGUCCCCUCCACCUCCCCCAUACUACAAAGAAUCUACCCCUUACUACAAGUCCCCUCCACCAUACUGAUAUCAAUCCGACUUAAGUAGGAAAACAUAUUUGAGGCUGAACCAAUAAAGCAGAAUGAAACUGAAGGACAGGUUCUACCCUAAAAUUCAAUUAAUCUUGCAUCAUGUGAUGUUCUCAUUGUUUUGGAUCUUUUAUUGAAAGCAAGUAGAACUAGUUGGAGUCAUUACAAAGAGGAACUGAAUGCCAUGGUAGAACAUGACGUUGUGCCCGUUAGUUGUAGUUGCAUCACAGUUCCUCCCAUCGCUAAGGGAUUCCACCACAAAAUUGACUUCUUGAUAGACAUGGCGAACUUCCGGUAGGCCCAUUGCUCCCAGGUUGAACCUGCAAUUAAAUCCAUACAUUGUAUGUGUAUUCACUGUUUUUUCUUGAACUCCAUGUUUAACAUCUAAUGUUAUGGUGUAGAUAGAGGAAGAAAGAGAAUUUCCCACCCUCUUUUUCUGGUUAUUUUAUUUUAAGAAAAAGUCAACCUUAUACUUAGUAGGAUGCCAUAACUUAGGAAUAUCCUGCCUUUUUAGUGGGUAACCAUGAAGGCUCUUAGUACUAACCUAGUCUUUAUUUGAUCUUUGCUAUCAUCUUAGUGGUUAACCAUGAAGCAAAUACAAAAAUGUUAAGAAGGAUGUCACAAUUGCAGUAUAAAAACCAGAGAUCCUAACUCAACUAUGCAACACAAGUCUUAGUUCUAUCCUUUCUUUUCUCUCCAAGAAGCACAAUGAGAAGCUUUUGGAAUUUGGGGAAAUUGCCUCUACUAGCAUUUGCUUUGGCAAUUUGCUUUGUAGCCAGCACUGUUGUUGCUGAUUACUCUUAUGGCUAUACUUCUCCCUCACCUUCUUACACCGCUAAGAAGUACUACAAAUCACCAUCUCCAUCCAACUAUCACGAACCAACUCCAUACUACAAGAAACCGGAAAAACAUGCUGAAUAUUCUCCGUCACACUAUUACAAGUCACCGGUGCCUUCCAAGCACGACUAUUACAAGUCCCCUACUCCUUCAAAGCAUUACUACAAAUCACCAGUAGUAGUGAAGUAUUACAAAUCACCAGUUCCUUCAAAGAAGUACUACUACAAGGCACCUUCCCAUUCAAACAAGUACUACAAGGCCCCUGCUCCUUCAAAGAAGUACUACAAGUCCCCUGCCCCUUCAAAGAACUAUUACAAGUCACCAUCUCCUGCAAAGUACUACAAAUCUCCUUCACCUGCAAAAUACUACAAGUCACCUGCUCCAUCAAAUCACUAUUAUUAUAAGUCACCAUCCCCUACAAAAUACUACAAAUCUCCAUCGCCUGCAAAAUACUACAAGUGGCCUUCACCAUCAAAUCACUAUUACUACAAGUCACCAUCUCCAACAAAAUAUUACAAGUCACCCGCUCCUUCUAAAUACUAUAAAUCUACCCCUUACUACAAGUCCCCUCCACCUCCCCCAUACUACAAAGAAUCUACCCCUUACUACAAGUCCCCUCCACCUCCCCCAUACUACAAAGAAUCUACCCCUUACUACAAGUCCCCUCCCCCUCCACCAUACUACAAAGAGUCUACCCCUUACUACAAGUCUCCUCCACCUCCCCCAUACUACAAAGAAUCUACCCCUUACUACAAGUCCCCUCCACCUCCCCCAUACUACAAAGAAUCUACCCCUUACUACAAGUCCCCUCCACCUCCCCCAUACUACAAAGAAUCUACCCCUUACUACAAGUCCCCUCCACCUCCCCCAUACUACAAAGAAUCUACCCCUUACUACAAGUCCCCUCCACCUCCCCCAUACUACAAAGAAUCUACCCCUUACUACAAGUCCCCUCCACCUCCCCCAUACUACAAAGAAUCUACCCCUUACUACAAGUCCCCUCCACCUCCCCCAUACUACAAAGAAUCUACCCCUUACUACAAGUCCCCUCCACCUCCCCCAUACUACAAAGAAUCUACCCCUUACUACAAGUCCCCUCCACCUCCCCCAUACUACAAAGAAUCUACCCCUUACUACAAGUCCCCUCCACCUCCCCCAUACUACAAAGAAUCUACUCCUUCCUAUAAAUCACCUCCACCUCCACCAUACUACAAAGAAUCUACUCCUUCCUAUAAAUCCCCUCCCCCUCCCCCCCACCACACCCUCCCCCUCCACCAUACUACAAAGAAUCUACUCCUUCCUAUAAAUCCCCUCCCCCUCCACCAUACUACAAAGAAUCUACUCCUUCCUAUAAAUCCCCUCCCCCUCCACCAUACUACAAAGAAUCUACACCUUCCUAUAAAUCUCCUCCACCCCCAUCAACCUACUAUUAAAAUAGUUACUAAUUCUAUCAUUUCCACCAUUUCCAUGAAUUCUAACUCCUACUUUGAGUAUCUCUAUUUCCUCAGCCAAAAUUUUAUGUAUUCUUCAAGAAGGUUUUGCUUGUUUUGUGUGUUCCUUUCUUUUAAUAAUUUGUAAUAUGCAUUGUUUGAGAUCCUCAAGAUCUCCGUCAGUUUGGUUCAUUGUAUCAAGAUUCUUUUUGAUGUAAUCUCUUGAGAGUUCCACUUUGUGUAAUACUAUCUUCUUCUUUAUCAAAUAUUGUGUUCUCUUAUUGGUUGAGUUCUUGACUUCUUUCAUUGUUCCAUAAGCAUUCACCUUAUGGACAUCUAUGCUAAACUCUUAUAUGAAGAGAAACCACAUCUGAGUAUAGUUUGGUAACUGUACUCAUUAACUUUUGAGAAAGCAAAAUUAUGUACAAUAAACAGAAUAAGAAAGAAAUAAAGAUGCAUUUAAACUAAGAAAAUGCAUCAUUUCGACAAUUCUUUUCUAAGAUAGAGAAGAGGAAAAGGCGACGUAGUCAAGGUUUAUCGACAUUUUUCUCUUUAAAGAUUACUCUUUUCAUUAUUGAUUUUUCCUUCUGCGAAGAUGUAACCAAGUUUCAGAUUUGUUAGAAAAGUAUUCUUAGUCUUAUAGGUUAAAUUAAAAACUAUAUGUGCAACUCCAACAUUAUUGCCUCCAUUAAGUUACUAAUAAAUUAACAAACAAUUCGUACGGAAAUGGGAUCCCAAUAUCAAGAGACAAAAGAUUCUUAUGAGAAAACACAAUUAAACGAGCCUCUACUUGAACCUCCAAGGAUAAAGGUACAUGAACAACCAUUUGAUCUCCAUAAAAAUCGGUAUAGAAUCCCUUGAAAACUAAUGGAUGUAAACAAAUAGCGUCCCUCCACUAAAACAGGCUGGAAUGCCUGUAUGCCUAAUCUAUGCAGAUUGGAUGCUCUAUUCAGCAAUAUAGGAUGUCCCUGCGUAACUUCUUGAUCAGUAAAAAAGAAUAAUCUUCUUAUGUAGUUAUUUUUUUUGAUAAAGGUAACUUUAUAUUCAUGUCAAAACUCAUCAGCAGAGCAUGAUGAGGUGGGAUUUGUAAUCUUCUUAUGUAGUUAUUCAUAAGUUGUUAUCCCCUUACAUCUAACUAUUAAAUAAAUAAGUUUCAUACCCCAAGAACACGAAAAGAAAUAUACUGAUAUCAAUCCGACUUAAGUAGGAAAACAUAUUUGACGAGGAGAAUGUAGAGUCUGAAUAAUGAAGACUUGGGAAAAAUUAAGACAUCAAGAUUUUUCCGAUAGAAGUUCUGGAAACCUCAGUGUAGUUGGCGUUGUUAAUGGAGAAUAUGUGACAUUUGACUCUAAUUUUCUUAGUUGCAAUUUUCUCAAUCUUUAUUCUGUGUUCUGUCAUUUGUAAAGGGGGAUUUAAAGAGUGAAGGUUUAUAUAAAGACAUUUUGGGGUUCAUAAGACUAGUUACAUACUAUUGCACAUGAACUAUUGGGAUGAGCUUGUGCAUUGAACAUUGGGAUCAUCUCAGGUGUACUUCUGGACACUUGAGGUGUAAGUAUCGCGAGACUACUAUCUCUACGUCUGUCCCAAAGUAUCUCAUCUCUAUAUGAGUCCCUGACGAGUCUCGAGUCUGCCUUCCAUCCGUGAUCCUCAGACCAAAAUGUUAUAUAAGGUGUAAUCUGGUAUGAUUAUCCACUGUUCAAUAGUAAAGUCAACUUGUAGAUUCUUCUUCUGGAAUUGCUAUUCUUUUACUUUGCCAAUGGGAUGACAGUUGUGGCAUUCCUCUUCUUAUUUUUCUUUUUUUGUUCCUAAAUUAUUUCUUCAUCAUGAAAUUUUUUUCUAAAAGAAAGAAGUCAUGGAUAAAUGCUUCCCACUAAGUACUGACUUAGUCUUUAUUUUGACUUAGGCAUCAUCUUAGUGGCUAACCAUGAAGCCAUUACAUGACUGUUAAGAAGACUAUCAAUUUGUAGUAUAAAUCUAGAGGUUCCUACUCAACUAUGCAACACAAGUCUUAGUUCUAUCCUCCUCUUCUCCAAGUUUAGUUGGUUGAAAAAGCAAAUGAGAAGCUUUGGAAAUUUGGGGCAAUGGCCUCUACUUGCAUUUGCUUUGGCAAUUUGCUUUGUAGCCAGCACUGUUGUUGCUGACUACUCUUAUGACUAUACUUCUCAUUCACCUUCUUACAAUUCUAAGAAAGACUACAAAUCACCUUCUCCAUACUACAAGAAACCGGAAAAACAUGUUGAACAUUCUCCAUCGCAUUACUAUUACAAGUCGCAUGCUCCUUCAAAACACUACUAUAAGGCACCUGUUAUUGCGAAGUAUUACCAGUCACAUGCUCCUUCAAAGCACUACUACAAGGCACCUAUUGUUACGAAGUAUUACAAGUCACACGCUCCUUCAAAGCACUACUACAAGGCACCUGUUGUUACGAAGUAUUACAAGUCACCUGCUCCUUCGAAACACUACUACAAGGCUCCAGUGGUAGUGAAGUAUUACAAGUCACCAGCUCCUUCAAAGAAUUACUACAAGGCACCUGUCCCUUCAAAGGAGUACUACAAGUCGCCAGCUCCUUCAAAGUACUACUACAAGUCGCCAUCACCUGCAAAGUACUACAAGUCGCCUGCUCCAUCAAAGCACUAUUACUACAAGUCCCCAUCCCCUUCAAAAUAUUACAACUCACCCGCUCCUUCCAAAUACUAUAAAUCACCUGCACCACAAAAAUAUUACAAGUCACCAGUUUACUACAAGUCUCCUCCCCCACCACCAACUUAUUAUGAGAAAUCACCUUCUUACUACAAGUCCCCUCCCCCUCCACCAUACUACAAAGAAUCUACCCCUUACUACAAGUCCCCUCCUCCUCCCCCAUACUACAAAGAAUCUACUCCUUACUACAAGUCCCCUCCACCUCCCCCAUACUACAAAGAAUCUACUCCUUACUACAAGUCCCCUCCACCUCCCCCAUACUACAAAGAAUCUACUCCUUACUACAAGUCCCCUCCACCUCCCCCAUACUACAAAGAAUCUACCCCUUCUUAUAAAUCUCCUCCCCCUCCACCAUACUAUGAAGAAUCUACGCCUUCUUAUAAAUCCCCUCCACCUCCACCAUAUUACAAAGAAUCUACACCUUCCUAUAAAUCUCCUCCACCCCCACCAAAGUACUAUGAGCAAUCUCCUACAACCUAUAACUCACCACCUCCACCACCACCAGCCUAUUACAAGCAAACUCCCACCUAUGCCUCACCUCCACCACCUCAGAAGUACGAGCAAUCUGUCACCUAUGCUUCACCUCCACCCCCGCCAGCUUCUCCCCCACCGACGUACUACUAAACAUUCAAUAACUCUAUCAUUUCCAUGACUUCUACAUCCUAUUUUGAUUUCAUUCCCUCUUCCAAAAUUUAAUGUAUGCUUGUCAAAAUGAUCAGCUUUGCUUACUGUAUGUUCAAUAUUGUUUUGUUCUAAUGAUUUGUAUUUUGUUUUAUGUCUUCAUUAGUUUUUCUCAUUGUAUCAAGAUCAAUAGUUUGUUACCUAUCUUCUCUUCUUUGUGUAAUAUUCUGUGGUUUUAAUCGACUUAAUUCUUUCAAGUAUAGUAUACCUCCAUAACAUAUAUUUGAUGAUACAGAAAGAUACAAAAGGUUAGUUGGGAAACUAAACUACCUUACAGUGACCCGUCUGAUAUUGGCUAUGCAGUUAGUAUUGUCAGUCAGUUCAUGUCUGCACGAACAGUUAACAUUGGGUAGUCUUGGAACAGAUCUUGUGUUGUUUGAAAGGAGCCGAAGGAACUGACGGAACUCUAUUUCGAGACUCGGAACUCCAAAUGUUGACUAAAGUCAAUCAUUUCAACUUAAAAGCUUCCAAAACUCCAAAACUUAUAAAAAUCUCAACUUUAUGAUUUGGUUUCAAAUCUAACCUCAUAAGCUUAUCAAACAUGACUCAGGGCAACUAUUGAGAGGGGUAAAACGGUAAUUUUUCCAAAAAAAUGAAUCCAAAUAUGACCUUCAGGGUCAUUACACACUUUGUUCCCGAGAAGAUAGAGAACAUGAUUUCUACUGGUUAUGUAAAGACGAGAGAAAACAGGUAAUAUAUUAAAGAAGGCUUUAAAUGGUACUCGUGUGGAGUAUCUUUGUAACAUGUUGGACAUGAUUAAUAUCUAUACUCCAACUUAAGGGGGAGUGCUACAUAAUGAAUAUAGACGCAUCUUCAUACAAUCGUAGGUUGAGAUAUUAGGGAUUUUAUGAUUUUGUUUUCUUAGAUAGAUUUACUUGUACACCUACAAAUAGCUCACUCUUGGAAUAAUACGAUAAGGAGAUUCGUUCCAUUGUCUCUUUAUUAUACAAUAAGCCUUCUUUGACAUGCUAUCCAUUUUUUGGAUUGUAAUUAUACUUAUCAACUUUUGAAAAAGAAAAUUAUAUAAAGCAAAAAGAAAUAGAGUCAUAAGUUAAUAAAUUAACCAACAACUCCAACAUUGCGGCUUCCAUUAAGUUAAUAAAUUAACCAACAACUCAUAACACUAUGAUAUUCAUUAGUAAAAGAUUAAUCUUCUUAUGUAGUUAUUUGUAAAUUGUUACCUCUUACUAGAGGGGCGUACCCAUUAUCCACCGAGUUUAGAAGGUUGUGAUUGGUCCAAAGGGCGGGUCACAUGCAAAUUUCUCGGUUAUCAAAAAAAAAAAUUGUUACCCUUUACAUGUUUUAACUAAUAAAUAAAUGUCAUACCCCAUGAACAUGAAGAGGACAAUAUUGUUAUCAAUCUGACUUAAGUAACUAAAAAAACAGAUUUGAAGACGAAAAUAUUGAGUUUGAUUAACAAAGACUCAGCUAAAAAUAAGACAUAUCAAGAUGUUUCCGAUAAAAGGUGUUGUGAAACCUCUCUGUAUUUAGCAUUCUUGACGAAGAAUAUGUGACAUUUGACUCUAAUCUUUUUACUUGCAAUUUUCUUAACUCAUUGUUUUUUUUUAUAUCAGUGAAGGGUGAUUUAGAAAGACUAAGUACAUAGAUUGCACAGGAACUAUUGAGACAAGCCCCGUGUGUUGGACGUUUGAUGCCUCUCAGGUAUACAUGCUGACACUUGAGGUGUAAGUCUCGCUGAGGCAACAACCUCUACAUCUGUCCCAAAGUACCUCAUCUCGAGUCCCUAACGAGUCUCAAGUUUGCCUUCCAUGUGUGAUCCUCUGUAAGUUUUUGAACUUCUUGUUCAGUUUUUGUACUAGUGAACAUAUAGAUUCUUGUUCUGCAAAUAAUCAUUCUUUUACUUUCCCAAUGGGAUGGAAGUUGUGGCAUUCCUCUUCUAAUCUUCUCAUUUUCUUUUUUUAUGUUUCUAAUGAUUUGUUCAAUCAUUAGAAUAAGUUUUAAGAAAAAAAGUUGUGGAAAAAUGCUUCCCACUAAGUAUUCAUGACCUAGUCUUUAUUUGGACUUUGCUAUGAUAUUAGUGGCUAACCAUGAAGGAUGCUACUUUGCUACUAUAAAAACUAGACAUCUCAACUCAACUAUGCAACACAAGUCUUAGUUUUAUCCUUCUUUUUACAAUCAAAAUGAGAAGCUUUGGGAAUUUGGGGCAAUUGCCUCUACUAGCAUUUGCUUUGGCAAUUUGCUUUGUAGCCAGCACUGUUGUUGCUGAUUACUCUUAUGGCUAUACUUCUCCUUCAACUUCUUACACCUCUAAGAAGUACUACAAAUCACCAUCUCCAUCUCCAUACUACAAGAAACCGGAGAAACAUGCUGAACAUUCUCCGUCACACUAUUACAAGUCCCCUACUCCUUCAAAGCACUACUACAAAUCACCGGUAGUAGUAAAGUAUUACAAAUCACCGGCUCCUUCAAAGAAAUACUACAAGUCGCCUUCCCCUUCAAAGUACUAUUACAAGUCGCAUGCCCCUUCUAAGAAGUACUACAAGUCACCAUCCCCUUCAAAGAAGUACUACAAAUCUCCAUCGCCUGCAAAAUACUACAAGUCGCCUGCUCCAUCAAACAACUAUUACUACAAGUCACCAUCCCCUGUAAAGUACUACAAAUCUCCUUCGCCUGCAAAAUACUACAAGUCGCCUGCUCCAUCAAACAACUAUUACUACAAGUCACCAUCCCCUGUAAAGUACUACAAAUCUCCAUCGCCUGCAAAAUACUACAAGUCGCCUGCUCCAUCAAAGAACUAUUACUACAAGUCACCAUCCCCUGUAAAGUACUACAAAUCUCCAUCGCCUGCAAAAUACUACAAGUCGCCUGCUCCAUCAAAGAACUAUUACUACAAGUCACCAUCCCCUGUAAAGUACUACAAAUCUCCAUCGCCAGCAAAAUACUACAAGUCACCUGCUCCAUCAAAGCAUUAUUACUAUAAGUCACCAUCCCCAUCACAAUAUUACAAAUCACCCGCUCCUUCUAAGUACUAUAAAUCGCCACCACCACCAACAUAUUACAAGUCACCAGUUUAUUACAAGUCCCCUCCCCCUCCACCAUACUACAAAGAAUCUACCCCUUACUACAAGUCUCCUCCUCCUCCUCCAUACUACAAAGAAUCUACCCCUUACUAUAAGUCCCCUCCACCACCCCCAUACUACAAAGAAUCUACCCCUUACUACAAGUCCCCUCCACCUCCCCCAUACUACAAAGAAUCUCCCCCUUACUACAAGUCCCCUCCACCUCCCCCAUACUACAAAGAAUCUCCCCCUUACUACAAGUCCCCUCCAAAUCACCUCCACCUCCCCCAUACUACAAGGAAUCUACACCUUCAUAUAAAUCUCCUCCACCUCCACCAUACUACAAAGAAUCUACACCUUACUACAAGUCCCCUCCCCCUCCCCCGUACUACAAAGAAUCAACCUCUUCCUACAAAUCCCCACCACCUCCCCCAUACUACAAAGAAUCUACGCCUUCCUACAAGUCCCCACCACCUCCCCCAUACUACAAAGAAUCUACCCCUUACUACAAGUCUCCACCACCUCCCCCAUACUACAAAGAAUCUACCCCUUCCUAUAAGUCCCCUCCACCUCCCCCAUACUACAAAGAAUCUCCCCCUUACUACAAGUCCCCUCCACCUCCCCCAUACUACAAAGAAUCUCCCCCUUACUACAAGUCCCCUCCACCUCCCCCAUACUACAAAGAAUCUCCCCCUUACUACAAGUCCCCUCCACCUCCCCCAUACUACAAAGAAUCUCCCCCUUACUACAAGUCCCCUCCACCUCCCCCAUACUACAAAGAAUCUCCCCCUUACUACAAGUCCCCUCCACCUCCCCCAUACUACAAAGAAUCUACCCCUUACUACAAGUCCCCUCCACCUCCCCCAUACUACAAAGAAUCUACCCCUUACUACAAGUCCCCUCCACCUCCCCCAUACUACCCCUCCACCAAAGUACUAUGAGCAAUCGCCUACAAAAUACAACUCACCACCUCCACCAUCACCAAUCUAUUAUUAGCAAACUCCCACCUAUGCCUCACCUCCACCCCCGCCAACAUACAACUAAACAUUCAAUAACUCUAUCAUUUCCAUGAAUUUUACAUCCUAUUUUUAUUCCAUUUCCCUUCCAAAAUUUAAUGUAUGUUAGUCGAAAUGAUCGACUUUAUUUAUUGUGUGUUCAAUAUUGUUUUGUUCUAAUGAUUUGUAUUAUGUAUUACUUGAGAAUUAAUUAAGAUUUCCUCAUUGUAUCAAGAUUAAUAGUUUGUUACUUAUCUUCUCUUCUUUGUGUAAUAAUAUUGUAUCCAAAUUGUUAAUUGAAAUGAGAUGGUAUUGUCCCUAGAUAAUUUCUUCCCUGCAAUAGUUUGUAACCUAUUUAAUUAAGAAAAAUGGUAAAAUCUACAAAAAUUAUUUAUAAAUUAACAAAAUCUAAUAUCAUGAUAUACAACUCAACAACAACGCCUAAAAUACAUUAACAUUAUAAAAUUUUAAAAUAAAAUAAAAAUGUGAAAAAGUUGGCAUAAAUUUUAGAAAUGCUAAUAUAUGACUAUGAAAUAUACAAUCAACUUUAUAUAAUAUCAUGAUAUACAACUUUAAUUACAACGCCUAACAAUCCAAAUAUUAGAAGGAAACAAAAUAUCAUAUGUUCCUCUUGAGAAAUAAAUAUAUUAAUAUUAUUACUUGAAUUUCUCUCUUUGAUUAAACGAGUUGUGUUUGGACCAAUUUAUUCGUACCGCGACUAUUCCAUCAUGUACUUGCUAUCUAGCGGCUAGCUCCCACUAUAAUACAUGUACCAAGUAACUUUACUCGCUUUAGGCAGAUGGAAAAAUAUCAUAUAAUGUUCAAAGACAACUCUUUCCAUUAUUGAAUUUCUUGCUUGAGAUAAAACCAAGUUUUAGAUAUAAAAAAAAAUGUUACUUAUAGUCUUAUAUAGGAACGUUACAAUUGCACAGUACAACUCCAACACCAACACUGUUUGGGUAAAUAUUUAUGAGCAUUGGGUAUUUACACCAAAUUUAUAUAAUUUAUUGUAGUUAGAUAAUUUAAUGGAGUGAAUAUAUUAAUUAACCAUGAUUAUGUGAUGUUAUUGUAAAUUUAUACACAUGACAUACAUUCAUUAGUUUGAUUUAAACACCCGAUGCAGAAGUUAAAAUAACAAGACUUAAAAAAUAAUAUGGAGGUUAUAUAAUGAAGAUCUUGAAAAAGUAAAAAAAACAUCAAGAUUUUUCUUAUGGAAAUUCCAUCAAAUUAACCCACUAUCGUAACAAUGGUGUCUGGGUACACUCUACCCUCCCCAGACCUUACUUUGUGAAAUUAUACUGAAUAUAUUGUUAUUGUUGUAAUCUGGUGUGUGUAUAUGAUCUUUUUGCCUUGUUUUUGAACUUCAUGUUCAAUAUUCAAGUCAGCUUAUCUAUUAUUUCUAAAUUAGCCCACUUGCAAAUUAUUUUUUCAAUCACCAAAAUAAAUGCUUGCCACUAAUUACACUAAACUAAUAUUUAUUUGGACUUUCCUAUCAUCUUAGUGGGUAACCAUGAAACCAUUACAUUAAUUAAUCUCAAGAAGUAUAUUACUUUGCUACUAUAAAAACUAAAGAUCCCAACUCAACUAUGCAACACAACUUAGUCCUAUCUUUUUUCUCCAAAAAUCAAAAUGAGAAGCUUUGGAAAUUUGGGGCUAUGGCAUCUACUUGCAUUUGCUUUGGCAUUUUGCUUUGUAGCUAGCACUGUUGUUGCUGAUUACUCUUAUGACUAUACUUCUCAUUCACCCUCUCCAUACUACAAGAAGCCGGAAAAACAUGUUGAACAUUCUCCAUCGCAUUAUUAUUACAAGUCACAUGCUCCUUUAAAACAUUACUAUAAGACACCUGUUGUAGCGAAGUAUUACAAGUCGCAUGCUCCUUCAAAGCACUACUAUAAGGCGCCUAUUGUUGCGAAGUAUUACAAGUCACAUGCUCCUUCAAAGCACUACUACAAGGCACCCGUGGUUGUGAAGUAUUACGUUGUUACGAAGUAUUACAAGUCACAUGCUCCUUCAAAGCACUACUACAAGGCACCCGUGGUUGUGAAGUAUUACAAGUCACCAGUUCCUUCAAAGAAUUACCACAAGGCACCAGUGGUUGUGAAGUAUUACAAGUCACCUACUCCUUCGAAACACUACUACAAGGCACCGGUGGUAGUGAAGUAUUACAAGUCACCUGCCCCUUUAAAGAAGUACUAUAAGGUGCCAACUCCCUCAAAGUACUACUACAAGUCACCAUCACCUGCAAAGUACUACAAGUCGCCUACUCCAUCAAAAUAUUACAAAUCACCUACUCCUUCUAAAUAUUAUAAAUCACCAUCACCAACAAAAUAUUACAGGUCGCCAGUUUACUACAAGUCUCCUCCACCACCACCACCAACUUAUUAUGAGAAAUCACCUUCUUACUACAACUCCCCUCCCCCUCCACCAUACUACAAAGAAUCUACCCCUUCUUAUAAAUCCCCUCCCCCUCCCCCAUACUACAAAGAAUCUACCCCUUCUUAUAAAUCCCCUCCCCCUCCCCCAUACUACAAAGAAUCUACCCCUUCUUAUAAAUCCCCUCCCCCUCCCCCAUACUACAAAGAAUCUACCCCUUCUUAUAAAUCCCCUCCCCCUCCCCCAUACUACAAAGAAUCUACCCCUUCUUAUAAAUCCCCUCCCCCUCCCCCAUACUACAAAGAAUCUACCCCUUCUUAUAAAUCCCCUCCCCCUCCCCCAUACUACAAAGAAUCUACCCCUUCUUAUAAAUCCCCUCCCCCUCCCCCAUACUACAAAGAAUCUACCCCUUCUUAUAAAUCCCCUCCCCCUCCCCCAUACUACAAAGAAUCUACCCCUUCUUAUAAAUCCCCUCCCCCUCCCCCAUACUACAAAGAAUCUACCCCUUCUUAUAAAUCCCCUCCCCCUCCCCCAUACUACAAAGAAUCUACCCCUUCUUAUAAAUCCCCUCCCCCUCCCCCAUACUACAAAGAAUCUACCCCUUCUUAUAAAUCCCCUCCCCCUCCCCCAUACUACAAAGAAUCUACCCCUUCUUAUAAAUCCCCUCCCCCUCCCCCAUACUACAAAGAAUCUACCCCUUCUUAUAAAUCUCCUCCCCCUCCACCAUACUAUGAAGAAUCUACGCCUUCUUAUAAAUCCCCUCCACCUCCACCAUAUUACAAAGAAUCUACACCUUCCUAUAAAUCUCCUCCACCCCCACCAAAGUACUAUGAGCAAUCUCCUACAACCUAUAACUCACCACCUCCACCACCACCAGCCUAUUACAAGCAAACUCCCACCUAUGCCUCACCUCCACCACCUCAGAAGUACGAGCAAUCUGUCACCUAUGCUUCACCUCCACCCCCGCCAGCUUCUCCCCCACCGACGUACUACUAAACAUUCAAUAACUCUAUCAUUUCCAUGACUUCUACAUCCUAUUUUGAUUUCAUUCCCUCUUCCAAAAUUUAAUGUAUGCUUGUCAAAAUGAUCAGCUUUGCUUACUGUAUGUUCAAUAUUGUUUUGUUCUAAUGAUUUGUAUUUUGUUUUAUGUCUUCAUUAGUUUUUCUCAUUGUAUCAAGAUCAAUAGUUUGUUACCUAUCUUCUCUUCUUUGUGUAAUAUUCUGUGGUUUUAAUCGACUUAAUUCUUUCAAGUAUAGUAUACCUCCAUAACAUAUAUUUGAUGAUACAGAAAGAUACAAAAGGUUAGUUGGGAAACUAAACUACCUUACAGUGACCCGUCUGAUAUUGGCUAUGCAGUUAGUAUUGUCAGUCAGUUCAUGUCUGCACGAACAGUUAACAUUGGGUAGUCUUGGAACAGAUCUUGUGUUGUUUGAAAGGAGCCGAAGGAACUGACGGAACUCUAUUUCGAGACUCGGAACUCCAAAUGUUGACUAAAGUCAAUCAUUUCAACUUAAAAGCUUCCAAAACUCCAAAACUUAUAAAAAUCUCAACUUUAUGAUUUGGUUUCAAAUCUAACCUCAUAAGCUUAUCAAACAUGACUCAGGGCAACUAUUGAGAGGGGUAAAACGGUAAUUUUUCCAAAAAAAUGAAUCCAAAUAUGACCUUCAGGGUCAUUACACACUUUGUUCCCGAGAAGAUAGAGAACAUGAUUUCUACUGGUUAUGUAAAGACGAGAGAAAACAGGUAAUAUAUUAAAGAAGGCUUUAAAUGGUACUCGUGUGGAGUAUCUUUGUAACAUGUUGGACAUGAUUAAUAUCUAUACUCCAACUUAAGGGGGAGUGCUACAUAAUGAAUAUAGACGCAUCUUCAUACAAUCGUAGGUUGAGAUAUUAGGGAUUUUAUGAUUUUGUUUUCUUAGAUAGAUUUACUUGUACACCUACAAAUAGCUCACUCUUGGAAUAAUACGAUAAGGAGAUUCGUUCCAUUGUCUCUUUAUUAUACAAUAAGCCUUCUUUGACAUGCUAUCCAUUUUUUGGAUUGUAAUUAUACUUAUCAACUUUUGAAAAAGAAAAUUAUAUAAAGCAAAAAGAAAUAGAGUCAUAAGUUAAUAAAUUAACCAACAACUCAUAACACUAUGAUAUUCAUUAGUAAAAGAUUAAUCUUCUUAUGUAGUUAUUUGUAAAUUGUUACCUCUUACUAGAGGGGCGUACCCAUUAUCCACCGAGUUUAGAAGGUUGUGAUUGGUCCAAAGGGCGGGUCACAUGCAAAUUUCUCGGUUAUCAAAAAAAAAAAUUGUUACCCUUUACAUGUUUUAACUAAUAAAUAAAUGUCAUACCCCAUGAACAUGAAGAGGACAAUAUUGUUAUCAAUCUGACUUAAGUAACUAAAAAAACAGAUUUGAAGACGAAAAUAUUGAGUUUGAUUAGUAGAAGAAUCUACGCCUUCCUAUGAAUCUCCUCCACCUCCACCAAAGUACUAUGAGCAAUCACCUACAACCUAUAACUCACCACCUCCACCUCCACCAACCUAUUCCUCACCACCACCACCUCAGGAGUACGAGCAAACUGUCAUCUAUGCUUCACCUCCACCCCCGCCAGCAUCUCCCCCACCAACGUACUACUAAACGUUCAAUAACUCUAUCACUUCCAUGACUUUUACAUCCUAUUUUAAUUCCAUUUUUUCUUCCAAAAUUUAAUAUAUGCUUGUCGCAAUGAUGGGCUUUGCUUAUUGUGUGUUCGAUAUUGUUUUGUUCUAAUGAAUUGUAUUAUGUAU
rnacentral:lncRNA from 1 species